rnacentral:lncRNA from 1 species
CUUAUUUAAAGAUUUGUCAUAUAUACAUAUUUAAUUUAACGAAUUUUUAAAUUUUCAUUAUUUUAAAGAACCAAGCCAUUUGAUUCUUUCACUCAAACAACAACAAAAAUCGGGUCCCUCAAAGACCUAACUUUCUCGCAAGCAUAUAAAUAGGAGCGAUAAAAAGUAAAAACUGAACGAAGCACAAUAAUAGCUUAUAUAGUUUCAGUUUCAUUCCAUUUUUUUUUCCUUUAAAGGAUUCCAUGGAUAGAAGAUUUUAUUCUGGCGUCGACGGUGGCGGCGGCGGCGGCAUGAAUCGUAGCAUCUCCAUGUCAGAGCUAAUAAGGUUCUCCAAUGAUAAUAAGAAAGGAUCCAUGGAAGACGUGCUUUAUGGCAAAGAAGACCAUCAAGAAUUCAACAAUAGUUACGUGUACAAGGGGGAUGUGGUUGAGUCCAUGAGAAGUGAAAGAGAAUCCAAAGAGUUGAAAAGGAAGAUGAAGAAGAAGCAGAACAUGUUUUGGAGCUUUUUUCAGUCUUGCUUUGAGUUCUUGAGGAUUCUGGGUUAGUUAGUUCAUCAGCAUGUUUUCUAAUGUGAUUAGUUUUUUAAUUAGUGAAUUUAAUUAGGGAUUAUUAUUAUAAUUCAAUCGAAUUGUAUAUACAAUUUUUUUUUUCAAGCAUCAUAUUGCAUUUAAUUUAGCUAAAUUGAACACACAUGCUUCUUAAGUAAUUAACUCAUUGUUACAGAUCACAGAGAUUGAUGCAUAGGGAAAAUUAAAUUAGAUUAGAUUAGAUUAGAUAUAUCAUAGUCGGUGCCUAAAGUUUGCUAAUAAUUAUUUGCUUGUUUAAUUGCUAGUUACUGAUUUGCUAAUUGAUACGUGUGUGAUAGUAACAUAACAUGUGAAUAUUAUUGUGGUUGUUGUCAGAGUCAAUUCAUGGUUUAGAGCUUUUUUUUCAUUAGAAACGUGAUAAUUUAUUUUUAUAUGA